UCCCUCUCUCGCUGUGGUGGGGGCUGCGGCGGAAAUGCCGUUUCCUCUCCGGUAGGCUCGUCACGAAGGAGUCCGUUUUCCUCCCAGCUCACCAUGUUGGACAUCCUGGUGCUGAUGUUCUUCGCCAUCAUUGGCCUAGUUUUCCUCUCCUACAUCAUCUACAUGCUGUGAUGGCGGGCGAAGGCCGAGCAGCAGCAGCAAUGAAGCACGAUGGCGCAGCACAGCUAACGGCUAUGAGGCAAAGGAGGAAACUUGGAGGACAAGGUCAUGCCCUCUGAUGGAGAGGGCAGCUGGAAUUGGCACAGCGUCUUUCCGAAACAUGGCAGCUCAGAACAUUCUCCCCCUGUCCAGCUCCCCUUCCCUCCUCACCCUCCCACACACCGUCCUGCUACUGAAGGAUUCUGCUCUUCCUCUCUUUUGAAGCGAAUGACAAUAUGUUUGGGGCUUUUUUGUGUAGUGUGCUAUAGGGUCAUCCCUGAGUUUAAAAGAGUAUGUGUGUGUGUUUGAGAAAGAGAAUAAGAAGAAUGUGGUAAACACUGUCAAAGAAUUUGUUCACUCCCUUCGAUGACUUCACAUCUGCAGUACUGCAUAUGUAUGGUUUGUAACACGCACGUUUUGUGUCCUUGUGAUGAUGACUACUUGGUUUUUUAAAUAAAGAUAAUCGUCUGAUAAAAAA